rnacentral:rRNA from 1 species
UACGGAGGAUGCAAGCGUUGUCCGGAUUUAUUGGGUUUAAAGGGUGCGUAGGCGGUCUUAUAAGUCAGUGGUUAAAUAACUUUGCUUAACAAGGGAGAUGCCAUUGAUACUGUUAGACUUGAAUACUGACUAGGUAGGCGGAAUUGGUAGUGUAGCGGUGAAAUGCUUAGAUAUUACCAGGAACACCGAUAGCGAAGGCAGCUUACUGGACAGUCAUUGACGCUGAGGCACGAAAGUGCGGGUAUCAAACAGG